GAUGAACGCCGGCGGCGUGCCUAAUACAUGCAAGUAGAACGCUGAAGGAGGAGCUUGCUCUUCUGGAUGAGUUGCGAACGGGUGAGUAACGCGUAGGUAACCUGCCUGGUAGCGGGGGAUAACUAUUGGAAACGAUAGCUAAUACCGCAUGACAACAGUUAUUGCAUGAUAACUGUUUAAAAGGGGCAACUGCUCCACUACCAGAUGGACCUGCGUUGUAUUAGCUAGUUGGUGAGGUAACGGCUCACCAAGGCGACGAUACAUAGCCGACCUGAGAGGGUGAUCGGCCACACUGGGACUGAGACACGGCCCAGACUCCUACGGGAGGCAGCAGUAGGGAAUCUUCGGCAAUGGACGGAAGUCUGACCGAGCAACGCCGCGUGAGUGAAGAAGGUUUUCGGAUCGUAAAGCUCUGUUGUAAGAGAAGAACGAGUGUGAGAGUGGAAAGUUCACACUGUGACGGUAUCUUACCAGAAAGGGACGGCUAACUACGUG
rnacentral:rRNA from 1 species